UCGACUUGAGGUCUAGCAUUAUAUCUGCUAUGUCACCUAGCUGUCCAGAUUAUAGAUCAUAAUGAUUAGAUCACAUUAUUUGAUACACAUAAAUUAGCUGAUAUGAUCACAUUUAAUAAAAAAAAAUUAACUAAGUCACAAGGAGUAAAGAGUUCUUUGAGUCAGGAUGACCUGAUUUAUAGCUACUGACUGAAAGAUCAUGGACAAAUAUAUCACUUUACCUUUCUGAAUCUCAUAAGAAUCAUGAAUUGAGAACUAGAAUGAAUGUUAGGGUCAACUAAUUCACCUUUCUAAUUUUAUUUUCAUUCAAUCAUUCAUUCAUUUAUUUUUUCAUCUUUCUCAUUUUAAAGCUGAAGAGACUGAGGCCAAGAAUAACUGGAUGACUCCCCCAUUCCAAAACAUUUUGGCCGUUAAGUAGAAGAACCAAAAUUUGAACUCACAUCUUGUGAUUCCAAGCAUGUAAUGCUGUAACUCAAAGCUCGUUUGUAUAAGACUCUCCUCAUGGUGGAGGUUGAUUGGGACUCAACAUCCAGUUGCAGAAUACUCUCCUCACUGUUGAAGGCUGGCUGCUUAAUGUUCCUCCUCUAAGGAGUGGAAGACGAGAAGGGUGGAGUUGGCAAGAUCUUAGGAGAAAAGCAAACAUCUGGGACUUCUGGCUUCCAGCUUCUAGAGAGAAGAAGACACAAAAAUUCAGAUAUUCUUUGGGGCUCUGUCCUUGUCAGCAGAGAAGGAGUCUGGGAAGAAACUGACAUAAAGAAACAGUCGGCCUCCCAUGCUCUUGCCUGUUGGGAUCUAAACCUCAGAAAGCCUGUACCACAAGAUAAAGAUGACAUCAUCACAACUUCUCUGGGAAAAAUAGAAACUGAGAGAUGGCGAGCACUUGAAAUUUCCAGUUGUAAGGAGAGUUGAGAUUGUCUUUACCUCCUCGAUUCUGUCAAAGGCUACUUUUAUGCCUUCUGAGGCCAUGUUGGCAGCAGCAGAACUUAUUAGACUCAUCAACAGAGCAGGUGGUGCUCGAGUGGUGAAAUAGGAUGGCUUUUGGAAUAUUAUCCUCAGUCCCACACCUGAUAUCCUCUAUUGACUUCACCAAUAUCGCCUGAAAUUGGAGCUGCAUUCUUUGUGCUUAGGAAUUAUUCUCAAUUUAAAAGGCAAACAUAUAACAUAUUAAACUCUUUGUAAUUUCAUUCAUUCAUUCAUCCAGCAAACAUUUCUCGAAUUUGGUCCUGGAGACACAAAGACAAAGGUGGAAGUCCCUGUACUCAAGAAGCAUAUACAGUCUACCAGAAUGGAUAGCUCUACAGAUUUUAACAUGGUGGCAGGUAGAGAGAGGUUGCUGAAAUCAAAGGAAUAGAUUAUGUAGUAUGGAUGGUAGGAAAGAGGGCCUCCUUGAAGGAGGAGGUGGUACUAUCCAAAAAUAAAACAUACCCCAAUUCUCAACUUUGCUGAUAACUGGGCCUAAGCAUGAAUUCCCUAGGUAGCACAAAGAUUUGGGAGAGUGGCAAAUUAUGAGGUCAGAGGAAAUCAAUGGGCAAAUGUAUCUUAAGUACCUGCUAUGUCCCUAGAAAGGGUUUUUUUCUCUUCUGAGAACCCCAUCUUCCAGGACCUACAAUCUGGCCAUUCUGGUCAACUGUUUUGCCUUGAUGUAGGCAAGAAGUUCUCUCUCCUCUGAUAUUUCAGGUGCUGCCUCCCAGGAGGGUAUUGCUAGGAAGAGACACUGAAGAAAAUUCCCAAUUCUGCUACUUAUGAGCGCAAGUCUUGUUUCUCUGAGAGUUACUAGCUAUGUGACCUCAGACAAAACAUUUCUGUGAGUGAGACCCCUUAUUAUAUUUUAAGGAGUUAGAUCAGAUGGCCUUUGAGGUUUUAAAUCUGUGAUCCUAAGGCCCUGUGGUCCUUAAUCUACAUUCUUAAGAUCCUUCAGCCCAAAUUAUCAGGCCUCAACAGUGGGGAUUUAACAUCUGACACCUGGAAUAUUUUACCUGCGCUUUGGAAUAAAGCCUGAUCCUUCUUUAGUAUGCUAGAACAAUGCAGAGCUAUAUUGGAAAAAGAAAUUUCAUGCAGUGAAAGGAGUCUCUUCAACCUCAAAGACGGAAGGGGGAAAAUCAUCAAAUAGCUUUUUACAAGAAUGCCAGAGAAAGCUUCUUUGUCCUUGAAAACUUGCCUAACUGGCACCUGACUCUCUGUGAGAUUUCCAAGGUACCAGGUACCACAUGCCAUCCACAAGGAAACAGAUUAUCCCUCCCAGGAUAAGUGCAAGUCAUCACCUGCAUCACUGUUUUGAAACACCCGACCUAAAUGACUUUUAUGUUCCUAAAAGAAGAAGAAGCAAAAAAAAAUGAAAAGAAAAAAUAGGGAAAGCUUUUGGUGGCCCCCCACACCUCAAAAUAUAGUUUUCUCUGAUAACCCCCAUUAACUGCAGGGGUCAUUGUGGCAAAAUGAAUGGGAUUAGAAAUCUGCUAAAAGCUGCAGCCUCCACUGCGUGCUGACUGACAAGCCUUUCACUGAGUAGUUACAAAUGGGACUAAUGGUUUAAACUUGUUAGUCAUUGUCAGCUGCUCUGAUCCUGGAGUCUGCUCUGGAAGCUAUGGCAGGAAUCGAUAAGGCAUCACUUUCAGAGUGAGCUGCUAGACCAUAUAGAUUGCCUGGAGGGAAAUGCUGAGCUCCCAGCCUGCUCGGCCAGAUGAAAGCAGCCAGCUAAAUCUCCAGGAAGAUUGACCACACUGCCCGGGGGCAAUUAGACCUUUCACCACUUUGAACAAUGAUUUUAAGAGGAGCUGGGUGUGUGCG